rnacentral:pre_miRNA from 1 species
AGUUGGCAUGGGUGGUACUAUAUAGAUCAUAGUAAUUAUAGUACUUUCUAUGGCAACUUA